UACGUAGGGGCCUAGCGUUGUCCGAAUUUAUUGGGCGUAAAGAGCUCGUAGGCGGUUCGGUAAGUCAGGUGUGAAAUCUCCACGCUCAACGUGGAGGCGCCACCUGAAACUGCCGUGACUAGAGUCCGGUAGGGGAGUGUGGAAUUCCCGGUGUAGCGGUGAAAUGCGUAGAUAUCUGGAGGAACACCGGUGGCGAAGGCGGUUCUCUGGGCCUUACCUGACGCUGAGGAGCGAAAGCGUGGGGAGCAAACAGG
rnacentral:rRNA from 1 species